GGAGUUAGCCGGUGCUUCUUCUGUGAGUGAUGUCCUUCCUGCCGGCUAUUAACCCGCAGGCCUUCUUCCUCACUGAAAGUGCUUUACAACCCGAAGGCCUUCUUCACACACGCGGCAUGGCUGGAUCAGGGUUGCCCCCAUUGUCCAAUAUUCCCCACUGCUGCCUCCCGUAGGAGUCUGGGCCGUGUCUCAGUCCCAGUGUGGCUGAUCAUCCUCUCAGACCAGCUACGGAUCGUCGCCUUGGUGAGCCGUUACCUCACCAACCAGCUAAUCCGACAUAGGCUCAUCCGAUAGCGCGAGGCCCGAAGGUCCCCCGCUUUCCCCCGUAGGGCGUAUGCGGUAUUAGCCUGGGUUUCCCCAGGUUAUCCCCCACUACCGGGCAGAUUCCUAUGCAUUACUCACCCGUCCGCCGCUCGCCACCAGGGAGCAAGCUCCCCGUGCUGCCGCUCGACUUGCAUGUGUUAGGCCUGCCGCCACGCGUCAUACUGAGCACUAAUACAAACUACUCGA
rnacentral:rRNA from 1 species